rnacentral:rRNA from 1 species
UACGUAGGCAGCAAGCGUUGUUCGGAGUUACUGGGCGUAAAGAGUAUGUAGGCGGUUGGGUAAGUUUGGUGUGAAAUCUCCUGGCUUAACUGGGAGGGUGCGCCGAAGACUGCCUGGCUUGAGUGCGGGAGGGGAGAGCGGAAUUCCUGGUGUAGCGGUGAAAUGCGUAGAUAUCAGGAGGAACACCUGCGGUGUAGACGGCUCUCUGGACCGAAACUGACGCUGAGAUACGAAAGCGUGGGUAGCAAAC